UACGUAGGGUGCGAGCGUUAAUCGGAAUUACUGGGCGUAAAGCGUGCGCAGGCGGGUAUGCAAGACAGAUGUGAAAUCCCUGGGCUUAACCUAGGAACUGCAUUUGUGACUGGAUAGCUAGAGUGUGGUAGAGGGAGAUGGAAUUCCGCAUGUAGCAGUGAAAUGCGUAGAUAUGCGGAGGAACACCAAUGGCGAAGGCAAUCUCCUGGACCUGCACUGACGCUCAUGCACGAAAGCGUGGGGAGCAAACAGG
rnacentral:rRNA from 1 species